rnacentral:lncRNA from 1 species
AAUUACAAAUUAAUACAUGCUCGAUUAGAAAUUAUAUUUCAUAAAACUUUUACAGCUAAUAAAAUUUAUUUACCAUAAAUUUAACUGUAAACCGGUGAUCUUGUACAGAUAACAGAUCAAUUUAUAACGAUGGCGAUAAUUACCGAAUGCUUCACUAUCAGUGAAUCGACUCAUGACUAAUGAGAAGUCGAUGAACCAUCAAACUUGUAACGAAUGCAACUGUAAACAUAAAUUACCUUACAAAGAUACGAAUGAACUAUAAUUCAUCGAUAUUUUUUCCUAUUUUUUCCAUGAGAUGCAAGCCAGGCGAAGCAGUUUCACUCAAGUCGGUAAUCAUUGUGCAAUUAGGUUCUCGUCAGUUAUGUUUCACACAAAUCAUGGUUAAGAUAGCGACAAAAGCAUCUUCUCUUUAAUAAACGUGAAAUUUCCUAUAAAUUGUUGCGAAUAAUUUAACAACGAUGGAUCACUAACGUCUUAAUAACGUCGAAAGAACGUCUUAAUAACGUGUGAUAAAUAUUUCUCUUACGAGUAACAGUUAAAAUUAUUCAAGGCAAGUUAAUUUUCGCAAUUUUUCUGGUGUUUAAAAUCAGAUAGUAUACUUAUAGUAAUGUUCCCAUCAGUUAUAGCGGCUAAGGAUAAUUUAGAAAACUAUGAAAAUAUUUCUAAAUCAUAAAAUUUUAUUCAAAUCAUUCCUAUUCUUUUCGUAUAAAAUUUCAUAGUUUUCCAAAGACUCGAAGGAUUCCAAAAAAAAUUCCAAUAUUCGAUUCAUCGUUUUUAUCUCUUAUUACAAGCAAGGUAAUUUUUUUUUCUUUAUAAAAUCCAAUUUUUAAAAUUUCAACAAUAUUCGAUACACCAUUUCAUCUUACAAUACACAAUCUCCACAAUCUUUCCUUCGAUUUUCCAAUGAUUUUCACCUUAGAAACGAAAUCUAUAAUUAUUCUUCUUCGUUCGACGAAACGAUUAUUAUAUCCCAUCCGUGAAAAAUAAUCACCAAUCCCCAAACAAACGUCAUCCCGUAAGAUUAAAAAUUCACGCCAUUCCACAGCCAAGAUAUUAUCUCCGACCAAUCUAUCUUAAUAUUUAACCCUUCAAAGGGGUUAAACAGUUGUCCAACCUACUUUCCAUCACUUUCGACGCUUUCACGUGCGAUCGAUUCACGUGGCCAACAGCACGGCCAACCUAACGAGCGUUGGAUCCCCCUAAGACAAAUGAUAAGGGCGAGUUCGAUCGAAUUUAUCAAAGAAAUAAUAAAGAGGAGUAUCCUCGCUGACCAUUCCGGACAGUGCACACGGAAAAGGUGUGAACUGUUUAAGCCGAGGUGUCGGCUCGUCAGCAGUCAGCAAGGUGUUGGGCCACGAUCAUUUAUUAUCCCGAGAUUGAAUUUCUCCUCGGCUCGACCAGCGCCUCGGUUUAAUUAAAAUAUCGUUAUGGGUAGGCGUGGAUAUUCGUGCCGCCGUGGAACGUUUCUGACCCAUCUCUCUCUCUCUCUCUCUCUCUUUCUUUUCUCUCUCUUUCUCUCUCUCUCUCGUCUCUCUCGCCUCUCUUUUCGAGGUUCGUUCGCGGUUUAAACGAGCAACAAGAUCGGGGAACGGAGAACAAGAGACGAUGGAAAAGCACGGAAGGCUUCCGUUGGAUAUCGCCUCGACACGGAAAUCGGGACACGGGACGGGUGGAAUAUCGAUCUUGGCUCGCGGGAUUAGGAGAGCAGGAAUGAAGGCAGGUGUUCCUGAGGUGUUUCCUGAGGAACGAGUACGAGUUCGUUCGGCUUUUUUCUUUGGAGCAGAAGUUAGAGAAUUUGUAAGAGAAUUGUGGUGGAUUAAAAUUAAUUGCAAAAUGUUUUUCGAGGAAGAAAAGGUGGUCGAUUUCGUGGAACACCGCGUACGAAUGGUGUCGUGAUCGUUCCCAGAAGGAUUCGUAAUUAAACGAGGAGAUCGCAUUCCGAUACAGGGGGCCGUUUCUCUUGGUGCACAUACAAUCAGCAUAAGCGAUCGUCUGCGUGCGAAUUCGGACUGAGAAUAUCGGUGCGUCUGUCCGGAGAAAAAAUAUUGUUAUAAGGCGAGAGCAUCCACUCUCGUAAAUAUCGUACCGUUAAAACGCAUCUGAGCCGAAGGAGCUAUUUCCAUCCCUUAAAUUUAAGAUUAGCCGCGUGUGCAUCACGUUGAAAAAAUAUUUUGAACGAGGUGAUAUCGGAUAGAUAAUAUUCGAGAAUUUGAGGUUAAUUAGGAUUGGAAAUUGGAAAAUGUUCGAAAAACGAUUUCGAGUAAAUACGAAAUUUAAGAAAUAUCAGACGACCAAACCACCAUUUCUGAGUUAUUCAAUUCUUCGAUAAUUUGAAAAAAAAUUGCUCAAAAUUGCUUUGUGUAAAAAAGGAGGGCGUAACAAAGAAACUCAUUUCACAGUCCAUCGUAUUUAUUGCCUUCCAUCAUAUUUAGACAGAACAGAAAACUUACACGCAUCCUCGUCAAUACUUCGUAACAAAAUAAUUACCAAUAAAAGAAGCUAUAUUUU